rnacentral:rRNA from 1 species
AGUGAACGCUGGCGGUAGGCCUAACACAUGCAAGUCGAACGGCAGCACAGUAAGAGCUUGCUCUUACGGGUGGCGAGUGGCGGACGGGUGAGGAAUACAUCGGAAUCUACUUUUUCGUGGGGGAUCACGUAGGGAAACUUACGCUAAUACCGCAUACGACCUACGGGUGAAAGCAGGGGAUCUUCGGACCUUGCGCGAUUGAAUGAGCCGAUGUCGGAUUAGCUAGUUGGCGGGGUAAAGGCCCACCAAGGCGACGAUCCGUAGCUGGUCUGAGAGGAUGAUCAGCCACACUGGAACUGAGACACGGUCCAGACUCCUACGGGAGGCAGCAGUGGGGAAUAUUGGACAACGGGCGCAAGCCUGAUCCAGCCAUACCGCGUGGGUGAAGAAGGCCUUCGGGUUGUAAAGCCCUUUUGUUGGGAAAGAAAAGCAGCAGGUUAAUACCCCGCUGUUCUGACGGUACCCAAAGAAUAAGCACCGGCUAACUUCGUG